UGGACCAUUUCAUUGACGAUGCAAAUGGAACAGCUAAUGAAUGGUUAAAGAAGAACGGCCUGCCUGGUGCAGCACCGUCUCUGUCGCAAUAUUUUAGACUCUAGGUGAUUUUUCUGCUGAUAAUUCAACACUGAUCAGACAGAGCAUUUUAAAAGAACCUCUCUUUAUAUCAUAGCAGUAGAUUCUGUACAAUUUUACUGCAAACAAUGAAUACAACACUGAUCUGACAAAAGAUUGGAAGAAACUUUUCUCAUCAAUAUAGUUUUUGGACCAUUUCACUGGACAAAGCAUGAUUGAAAAACAACUUCUCUUUACUACCUCAGUGUAGGUUCAAAGAUAACAACAGAAGGUUCGACAGAUGCUAUGUGACAAAAGAGCUAAACAGAGCAAAAUUGUAAUAA